CAGGAGGUUUAAAUGCUCUCUGACCUCAGUGAGCUCAAAUUCUCUCUGUGGAGAUAACUUUGCAGCUUGCAAAUGGGUCAGAGAACUGCCUGCCAGCUCGUGG